GCUUUCAUGCGAGCUGGGAAUUUUACAGGAACAGAAACAAACAUCUAAAGAACAAGAGGUUGUAAAAGAAGAUAAUGAUAUUUCAUGAUAUCACAAACCUACCUCAUCUGUUACACGGUUGGCUUUACUUGUGAUCUCAUCCACUGACAUGUCUGCCAUGCUGCUGGAUUGGGAUUCUGCUGGCACAAAAACUUUACAUACACUUUGGGAAAAGUAGCCUAUACACUUCCUGAUUCAAAUGCCAGCAAGGUAGAGGAAAAAUCCACAAGAACUAACUUUAAAGAAAAGUUCACACUAUAUAUCAAUAGGGCUAUAUCAUCUAACCCUAGAUCCAGCCAUCACAAAUCCACUUCUGAUCUGGGAAAUUACAUUCUGAACAUGUUCACUAACAGGUAACACAAAAAGAGACAGAAUUAAAGCCUCAGUCACCAUUCACUUUUGUUAUA